CCUAAGAUCAGCCAAGUUAGUAUUAUAGCUAAUUUUAGCUUAAAAGUAGGUGAAUUUUAUAUUUAUUUCAGACCAGAUACUCUUGAGGGACCAAUUUAAGGGCAAACAGACAAACGUUUUGAUGCAAAGAAAGCAUUGGAUUUGAAAGUUCCCAUGGAAAAGAAAAAUGGAGAGAUUCUAAAAGUAUGAAGAUACUCCUGUGUAUAAUGAGGAAAUCUUGUCAGUGAAUGGUAAGUUCUCUUUGGAUUAAUUCUAUGUAUAACAAUAUAAAUAUGUGGUAAGCCAAGAAAUGAGAAUUAACAUAAUUAUUCUGUUCAAACAUACAUUGACAUAUUAAAUAUAAAGACAUAUGAUUUGUCUCUGCUAUUAUACUCCUACCACUUGAUGGUUAGGGUUCAUUUGGACAAGUCUUCUUUUAUCCAUAAUUCCAAAUGCUUCUGAGAUUUCUAACACACAUUAAAUAUGUUGCGGAGAAGUGCUGUGCAAAAAACAUUUUUGUUUAUGGUAUUUUAGAGUUAUUGGUCUUUAAUUAUUUUUCUUACACUUUUCUAUGUUGUUGAGGUAUUAACUUCAAACUUCAUGCACAUAUUGGACGUGAUAAGAAAAAUAGCUGUGCAUAUGAAUCAUUAAAUUGUGUAUGGUAGUCAAAGAGUUGUAAACCUUUGAUUAUUAUUUUUAUAUUUUUUUUAUUUUUUUCUUCUCUUCAUAACUUUUUUCAUUUUUUACUUUAAUUUAACAAAACACUAUUCUGUUUUUGGUAUAUUAAGGAUUAUUUUCUUAUGUUUAUUUUGUGCUUGGCAGUUUUAAAAUUAUUGCCUAAUUGGUUACUGUAUGCUAAAAAGCAAGCAUCACUCUCAGUGAAACCUCUUAUUACAAUAGGUGAUAGCUGUAGUUUUCCAUGGAAACAAAAGUGUUUGACAGUAUGAGUCAUUUUUAGUAGCAGUAUAUUAUGUACAUUAGGUAUAAGUUCUCUUUUUUUAAUUGUUCAGUUGUUUUUCAGUUGUCGCAAUUGUGGACCAGGCCAGAGUUGUACUAAACCAACUAAGACACAAUGAGAUACAGGAAUGACACAAUGAGAAACAGGAAACAGGAAAGUGAUGACUGAUCGCCACCUGUUACAAAUUCAUCUAGAAAACCCCCCACAUCCAACAAGAGACAGUCUGACUUCAAAAUCUUCAUUGAAGACAACUAAAUGUACAAGACAUCCGUCGCAUAAAGAUUCACUAAAAUUGGAAUGAUAUACCAAUUUUACCUUUAAC